rnacentral:rRNA from 1 species
CUACGGGUUGCUGCAGUGGGGAAUAUUGCACAAUGGGGGAAACACUGAUGCAGCAACGCCGCGUGGAGGAUGACGCAUUUCGGUGUGUAAACUCCUUUUAUAUCCCAAGAUAAUGACGGUAGGAUAUGAAUAAGCACCGGCUAACUCCGUGCCAGCAGCCGCGGUAAUACGGAGGGUGCAAGCGUUACUCGGAAUCACUGGGCGUAAAGGGCGCGUAGGCGGGUUGUCAAGUCUUGAGUGAAAUCCAACGGCUCAACCGUUGAACUGCUUGAGAAACUGGCAGCCUAGAGUAAGGGAGAGGUAGAUGGAAUUGGUGGUGUAGGGGUAAAAUCCGUAGAGAUCACCAGGAAUACCCAUUGCGAAGGCGAUCUGCUGGAACUUUACUGACGCUGAGGCGCGAAAGCGUGGGGAGCAAACAGGAUUAGAUACCCUAGUAGUC